UAGGGAAUCUUCGGCAAUGGACGGAAGUCUGACCGAGCAACGCCGCGUGAGUGAAGAAGGUUUUCGGAUCGUAAAGCUCUGUUGUUAGAGAAGAACGUUGGUAGGAGUGGAAAAUCUACCAAGUGACGGUAACUAACCAGAAAGGGACGGCUAACUACGUGCCAGCAGCCGCGGUAAUACGUAGGUCCCGAGCGUUGUCCGGAUUUAUUGGGCGUAAAGCGAGCGCAGGCGGUUCUUUAAGUCUGAAGUUAAAGGCAGUGGCUUAACCAUUGUACGCUUUGGGAACUGGAGGACUUGAGUGCAGAAGGGGAGAGUGGAAUUCCAUGUGUAGCGGUGAAAUGCGUAGAUAUAUGGAGGAACACCGGUGGCGAAAGCGGCUCUCUGGUCUGUAACUGACGCUGAGGCUCGAAAGCGUGGGGAGCAAACAGGAUUAGAUACCCUGGUAGUCCACGCCGUAAACGAUGAGUGCUAGGUGUUAGGCCCUUUCCGGGGCUUAGUGCCGCAGCUAACGCAUUAAGCACUCCGCCUGGGGAGUACGACCGCAAGGUU
rnacentral:rRNA from 1 species